UUUUAAAUUGAAUAGAAAUAAAAAUCAAACCCAACUGUUUGAUCCAAACCUAGGUGUUUGGAAGUUUUGCAACAUUGGUUUGAAUGCUUUCAUGAUAUAACUGAAAUUGUGGUCAGUUUAGCAACCUCCAUACAUUGUUAAACCACAUCCCAAAGCCCUUUCUUGACAAGUAUAGAUGGGCUAUCAAAAGCUCAAAGUUGAGGGAAUGACAACAGCAAACUUUGGGGGAUGGUUUAUAUGAGUCAGGAUUCAAUCAGGACACAAAAAGCACACAAUUUAAGCAGGGUAAGUUUAAUGCAAAGAAUUAUUAGCUACAGUAGGAGACUGCAAUAAGGAGGGAUUGGAUAGUAAGAAGUAAAGAGAAUGCUAAAGAAUACGAGAAAAGCAGAUAUAAGGAGGAGCCACUACGCUUAAAGUUGAGAUAGAGGACCCAAAGAAGAGGCCCCUCCCUCUCCAGGCUGAGAUCCUGACCUUAUUGGAGAGUGCACAGGCCUGCAGUUUGAGGAGAGUGUCAGAGGAAGCAGCUGUCCCCUGAAUGCUGUCUGUAUCACAGGAUCCUGGCAGUGGAGGUCAGCGGUUCUCAACCAUUUUUUCUGCCUCAACCCCAUCGGCAUCCACAAAGUAUAUGCACUAUCAUCAACAGUCUCUCUCAUGAAAUGAUUUGUAGUGGUGCAACGGCAUAGCAGAGACUGCAAGUUGUCUCUCAAAAGCCUCCCUUGCUGCGUCAUUCCCGCCCUCCCUUCCUUCCGUCCUCAGUAACAGAACACUCAGUGUUUAGCUGGGAAAUGGCUGUCCAAAAUGAAGACUAUAUUUUCCAGGCUUUCCUGCAGAAAGGCAUAAUGGGUGACUAAGUUCUGCACGAUGGGAUGUUAGUGUCCUUAAAAGUAGGAGCCAUUUCCUUCUUUCCUUUACAUUGACUGGAACAGAAUGUGAACAUAAUAAUGGUGCUCCAGCAGCCAUUUUUGACCAUAAGUGAACUUCCGAUGGGAUCCAUGCAUGGAUGGAGCGAAAAGAUAAAGACAGCCUGCAACGCUAACACUGACCAGCCUUGCCCUGACCACCUCCAGGCUUCUUGACAAGAGGGAAAUAAACUUCUAUUUUGUUCAUAUCAGUGCUAUUUUCGGUUUCUUGUAGUGAAACUGAAUCCUAAUAAAGAGUUAUAUGAGAAUUUCCAGUUUGAGGGUUGUGAGGGUUGUGUGUAGUUCAUAGUUUGAAAAAAGCCUCUCGGGGCUGGCCCUGUGGCCGAGUGGUUAAGUUCACGCACUCCGCUGCAGGUGGCCCAGUGGGUGCGGACAUGGCACUGCUCAUCAAAUCACGCU
rnacentral:lncRNA from 1 species